rnacentral:rRNA from 1 species
CAUUACUGAGUUUACGCUCUACAACCCUUUGUGAACAUACCUACAACUGUUGCUUCGGCGGGUAGGGUCUCCGCGACCCUCCCGGCCUCCCGCCUCCGGGCGGGUCGGCGCCCGCCGGAGGAUAACCAAACUCUGAUUUAACGACGUUUCUUCUGAGUGGUACAAGCAAAUAAUCAAAACUUUUAACAACGGAUCUCUUGGUUCUGGCAUCGAUGAAGAACGCAGCGAAAUGCGAUAAGUAAUGUGAAUUGCAGAAUUCAGUGAAUCAUCGAAUCUUUGAACGCACAUUGCGCCCGCCAGCAUUCUGGCGGGCAUGCCUGUUCGAGCGUCAUUUCAACCCUCAAGCUCUGCUUGGUGUUGGGGCCCUACAGCCGAUGUAGGCCCUCAAAGGUAGUGGCGGACCCUCCCGGAGCCUCCUUUGCGUAGUAACUUUACGUCUCGCACUGGGAUCCGGAGGGACUCUUGCCGUAAAACCCCCCAAUUUUCCAAAGGUUGACCUCGGAUCAGGUAGGAAUACCCGCUGAACUUAAGCAUAUCAAUAAGCGGAGGA